GAAAUCAUUAAAUACUUUGGAUUCUGCACCAUCUGCAUUUGUCUAAGAUUUAACCAUGAAUUAAGUAUUUGUAUACCAAAUGACAAGCACAGGUUUCUCAUUUAACUUUUCUCUUUUAUUUUUCAGUUGCUUCAGUCGUUACACUGAAAUGCCUUGAAAAAAUUUCAUUCAAACCAAUUUCUUUUGGAUUUUUAAAGUAGAUUCAGUUCUCUAUCUCGGUUUCUUUUCUAUUAAUAUUGUGUUCAAUAACCUAAUACUUCAUUCUGGCGAGCUGGCAGUAAUAUUAGCACACUGUCUUUACGUUCUGAGUUCAAAUUCCGCUGAGAUUGCUUUGCCUUUCAUCCUUUCGGGGUUGAUAAAUUAAGUACCAUUUAUAUAUGGGAGUCGAUCUAAUCAAAAUGUAUGUUUUUGACUAUAUAAAAAAAGUAAAUCAUUUUAAUGAGAACUUUGUGCCCGGUGACAAUGGUAGAUUUUCUUGAUUCAAAAAGACAAUUUUGUUAGCUUCAGCCAUGUUUCGUAAUUUCAAGUCAGCUUCUCUUAGCUCAAAAGAAAUCUUCAGCAGCAUGAAACUAAUCACAUGGCUACUAAGCAAUAUUAUCAUCCACACAAACAUGUCUGCAUCUGUGUAAACUAAUAAAUAUUUCAUACAAAUCACACAUGUAUGUUAUCAUCAUUAUCAUUUAAAGCAUCUAUCUGUCUAUCUGUCUGUCUAUGUACCUAUCUGUCUGUCUAUCCUUCUAUCUAUCUGUGUGUGUGUGUGGGUUGUCUGUUUUGGCAUGGUUUUUAUGGACUUAGUGUUGUUUAUGUGGCACCAACACUGGUGAGAUCAUCUUUGGCAUGGUUUUUACUGCUGGAUGUCCUUCCAAACACCAACCACUUUACAGUGUGGACUGGAUGCUUUUUAAGUGGCACCAGCACUGGCAGGGUCACCCAGUAACUUGCAAAACAAAGAUCCUUUGAGAGGGAAGGGGGUGUUGAAGGAGGUGAUCUUGUGCCAGGUGAUGAGAUGUUAUAGUGUGACAGAGAGACAGAAACAAGUGGACCAUCUAAUUAUCUCUCCUCAUACAUUAGGCUUGUCUAUCUAUCUACUUCUACAGCAUACCCAAACACAUCAUCCCUCUUCUCUCAUAAACUCUUGGAAACACCACCCACCCAUCAACUACUACUCCUUCUACCUCAUCAGAUAUCACCAAUUCAUUCUCACUUUCUUUCUCCUAAAUGUAACCAGCCAUGUAACACUCCUACAAAAAGGACCUGCCCUACCGCAACCUCUUCUCUCACACCUCAACUCCCAUCUAACAUAAGGUCUCAGCACCCCAUACUUCCUCAAGUUUGUAAACUUGCAAACUACAAGGUGACCUCAAUAGUGCCAAUGAGUUGCAAAAAAGAAACAACCAGUUUAUGCUGUAAAGUGGCUGGUGUUAGAAGGGCAUCCAGCCAUAGCAGACACUGGUACAUGAUGCAGUCCUUGAACUCAUCAGAUACAUGUUAAACCAUCCAACACAUGCCAACAUGGAACAUGAAUGUUAAAUGAUGAGGAUGAAGACGAUGAUGAUGAUGAUGAUGAUGAUGAUAUGUAUAUGUGUGUGUAUAUCUAUAUAUAUAAAAUUGAGAAUGCUUGUCUGUGUGUCUUUAUGUGCACAUCACUAAAACUCAAGAACUACCCAACGGAUUUCAUUCAAAUUUUACACAUGCCUUACUUAGGGUCUAUGCAGUGUCAUGGGUCAAAAAUAUUUUCAACUUCUUGCUUAAUGUGAGCCUUGAGUAAUCCCUUAUCUCUUAUACUAUUUCAGUAUUACAUGUCAAAAGUGAAACAAUAACUUCUCUAUUUAUCAGAUUUGUAUCAGAUUUAUUAGUGAAACUAUUAAUACUUUCAUUAUGUAUACAUAUAUAUAUAUAUAUAUAUCUUGAGAAAAUAUUAAUAGGUUGUUCAUCAAUUUUUAGACAUUAUAUUAUGUUAUCUUAUUUAUUUACUAAACUGAUAAUUACAAUAAUAAGCAUACAAAUAUAUAACAUAUUAUGCUUUAAUAAUAAUAAAACAUUGUGUACAGUGCUUUCUUUCUCCUAUGUUUCCGACGAAGAGCUCCGCUCGAAACGUUAAACCCUCCUUCUUCCCUUCUUUCCUGAGCAUCCAAUAAUACUUUAUUUGUUCCAAUAUAAUACUUUAUUUGUGGAACAAAUAUAAUACACUCGCAUAUGUAUGCACAUGCAUAGAUGCAUAGAUGUAUAUGCACACAUAUGUAUAUGUGUGUGUGCAUAUAUGUAUGUAUACAUGUAUGUAUAUAUAUAUAUAUAUAUAUAUAUAUAUAUAUAUAUAGUUAAUCCAAACAAGAAAACAAAAAGACAACAACGCAAGGAUGUGGAACAAAUAAAGUAUUAUUGGAUGCUCAGGAAAGAAGGGAAGAAGGAGGGUUUAACGUUUCGAGUGGAGCUCUUCGUCAGAAACAUAGGAGAAGGGAAGACAGAGGGAAAAAAAUCGCUGGCGGUACUCACGAGGUCCACUUCUAUUACUUUCACUAUGAUAUAUUUAUGUAUGUAUAUGUAUAUACCCAAGUACCUCAUUUUCAUAUACCUACUAGCAGAGAUACUCAGCAUUGCCCAAGUUACAUACAAUUGAAGAAUUAGACUUUUCUGUUAUAUUUUUUGUAAUGAACUGGAAUACCUAUGUUUCGAAUUUCAUCAAAAUUUCAGAUGAGGGUUAUUUCCCUCUUUACACAUGUAGUAUAAUUACAAAAAAAUUGUAAUCAUGCUACUUUAAUAGUUUCAGUAUUUAACUGAAACUAUUAAAGUGAAAGCAUCUUACAUUACAAUAGAAAGAUAUUGUUUCACUUUUGACACAUAAUACUGAAAUAGUAGAAAAGAUAUGAUAUUGCUGUGGGCUCACACUAGACAAAAAGUUAGUUUUUUUUUGCCCAUGACACUACAUGGACCCUAAGUAAGGCAUGUGUAAAAUUUGAAUGAGAUUGGUUGUAGUUCUCAAGUUUUAGGGAUUCACACAGACAGACAGACACACACACACACAUACAUUCUCAUCUUUAUAUAUAUAGAUUACUUCACUCCGCUUGAGUAAUAAAGGUAGAAUGAGGUAUUUUUAUCUAUUGACUGAAACUGCUGUAUGUUAUUUUCCCAAUUUAUAUUCAUGUUUGUUAUUUUAUGAUAGUUAUUGGUAUCCCUAUAUAUUACUAUAUUUUAUAUCUUAUAUCUUAUAUGUAAAGCAUAAUAUGUUAUAUAUUUGUAUGCUUAUUAUUGUAAUUAUCAGUUUAGUAAAUAAAUAAAUAAGAUAACAUAAUAAAAGUUGAUGAACAACCUAUUAA
rnacentral:lncRNA from 1 species